UAUGCUCACCCAGAAGGGCUGGAGAUGGCACCGAAGCUCACCAGGGUUUUACCCAUAGAUCUCGUGGGGCUGAAUUAAGAUCCACUCCUUUAGAGAAAAAAGAACCUGCUUCCAAUUCCAUCCCUGGAACUAAAACAUCAGUCCUAAUGCAACCUGUGUCCUACAGCAUCUGGACUAUCCGACUGGGUGAUCUGUGUUUACCUGGCAACCCUAUUUUAAUAUGCAAAUAAAAGGAGCUGAAAAAUCUUCCACGCAAGGUCCUGAAAGGGUCUGCAUUUCCAGCGAGGCUGCGGGACAGCGAACAUUGCUGACCUACGUUUGCCGCCUCCAGGAAGGAAUUAGAUGUCUGAUACUAAAAACCACCACCAAAUGGAAGAAAUUAACCACUUGAUGAUCAUGAGCGUGUAGCCCCCAGACCUUCUGGUGCCUAAGGAUUGAUCACCAUCAACCACAAUCCAUCAACCAAUCAGAGAAUGAUGCACGUCCCUCCCUCAGCUGACCUUUAAAGAUGCUCAGCUGAAACCCUUCCGGGAGUUUGGGGUUUUUUGGGGGCAUGCGCCACACAUUCUCUUCAUUUGGCCCAGCAAUAAACCUUUCUCUGCUCCGAACUCCGACGUUUCAGUUUGUUUGGCCUCACUCUGCGUUGGGCACACGAACCUUGCGUUGAUAACAUCUCCAAAUGAUGAAUCUUUCCCUCUUCCUCACAGGUAACCACUGUCCUGACUUCUAAUGCUACAAAUUUUGGUUUUGGUUUUGAACCUCAUGUAAAGGGA